GGAUGGUUCAAGCAAUUCCGGCAGAGACGGGGAACCACAUUCGGCCGUUUAGGCGGCCUUGGGGUGAAGCCUUGCAGCGCAAGGCCGGGUGCUCUCCAUCCGAAUCAGACAGCCCACCUCGCAGGCUCAAAGAGAGGCACC
rnacentral:sRNA from 2 species